rnacentral:tRNA from 1 species
GCUCAGUUGGUUGAGUGUUCAACUCUUGAUUUCAGCUCAAGUCUUAAUCUCAGGGUCAUGAGUUCAAGCCCCAUGUUGGGCU